rnacentral:rRNA from 1 species
UACAGGGGGUGCAAACGUUUGCUCGGAAUUAUUGGGCGUAAAGCGCGCGUAGGCGGCCUACUAAGUCAGACGUGAAAUCCCCAGGCUUAACUUGGGAACUGCGUCUGAUACUGGGAGGCUUGAGUGCGGGAGAGGGAUGCGGAAUUCCAGGUGUAGCGGUGAAAUGCGUAGAUAUCUGGAGGAACACCGGUGGCGAAGGCGGCAUCCUGGACCGGUAUUGACGCUGAGGCGCGAAAGCCAGGGGAGCAAACGGGG